rnacentral:rRNA from 1 species
AGAAUUGACGGGGGCCCGCACAAGCGGCGGAGCAUGUGGAUUAAUUCGAUGCAACGCGAAGAACCUUACCUGGGUUUGACAUACACCAGAAAGCUGUAGAGAUACAGCCCCCCUUGUGGUUGGUGUACAGGUGGUGCAUGGCUGUCGUCAGCUCGUGUCGUGAGAUGUUGGGUUAAGUCCCGCAACGAGCGCAACCCUUGUCCUGUGUUGCCAGCACGUAAUGGUGGGGACUCGCAGGAGACUGCCGGGGUCAACUCGGAGGAAGGUGGGGAUGACGUCAAGUCAUCAUGCCCCUUAUGUCCAGGGCUUCACACAUGCUACAAUGGCCGGUACAGAGGGCUGCGAUACCGUGAGGUGGAGCGAAUCCCUUAAAGCCGGUCUCAGUUCGGAUCGGGGUCUGCAACUCGACCCCGUGAAGUCGGAGUCGCUAGUAAUCGCAGAUCAGCAACGCUGCGGUGAAUACG